GGAAAGUAUGCUUACAAAGCUAACACUUAAAAAGAUCUUAUAAAAGGACAUCACCAGAAAUGAAGUCUGUAGCUUAAGUUGAAUCAACACAUGAAAACUUACCUGGCCCACAAGGCACAGACUUACAUCCAGAUUAUAAAAAUGAUUGACAGAUUAAGAGCUCUUCCUUAUUCUGUGGGUGAUGGUACAAGGCAAUUUUUAGUUACUGGAGCAAUUUGUCUGAUAACAAACAUGACUUUAGCUUACUAAAUAGAUGCUUCAAUCUUUCAAAUCAGACAUUCUUCUUGGAAGGGCAAGCAGCAUUUAGCUGCAUGACAUACAGCAAUAAUAAAUCUGCAAUGCCCUUAGAUAUCUGUGGCCAUGCACAUACUACAUUGAAAGAAUUACCCAUGUUAUUCUUUUGCUUGAUGAACAGACUACUGUGUCACUAACUCUCCUCCCCCCCCCCCA
rnacentral:ncRNA from 1 species